UUCCAGUCCUUCUUCAAGUAUGGCAACAGCUUCAAACACAAACCCUCAAGAUUCCAAGUGAUUUCACCUGCGCAGAUAUCAAACAAGCCUCCAUCCUCAAUACAAAGAUAUGCCAAAUGGGGGAGAGAAUCAGGAAUAACCCAUUUCGGCAAAGUGUCAUGAUGGUAACGCCUAAGAUACAGCUCCUCAAGUCCUUGUGGAGG
rnacentral:misc_RNA from 1 species